AACGAACGCUGGCGGCAUGCCUAACACAUGCAAGUCGAACGAGACCUUCGGGUCUAGUGGCGCACGGGUGCGUAACGCGUGGGAACCUGCCUUUAGGUUCGGAAUAACUCAGAGAAAUUUGAGCUAAUACCGGAUAAUGUCUUCGGACCAAAGAUUUAUCGCCUUUAGAUGGGCCCGCGUUGGAUUAGCUAGUUGGUGGGUAAAGCCUACCAAGGCGACGAUCCAUAGCUGGUCUGAGAGGAUGAUCAGCCACACUGGGACUGAGACACGGCCCAGACUCCUACGGGAGGCAGCAGUGGGGAAUAUUGGGACAAAUGGGCGAAAGCCUGAUCCAGCAAUGCCGCGUGAGUGAUGAAGGCCUUAGGGUUGUAAAGCUCUUUUACCCGGGAUGAUAAUGACAGUACCGGGAGAAUAAGCUCCGGCUAACUCCGUGCCAGCAGCCGCGGU
rnacentral:rRNA from 1 species